rnacentral:rRNA from 1 species
GACGAACGCUGGCGGCGUGCCUAAUACAAUGCAAGUCGAGCGGAAUGAUGAAGAAGCUUGCUUCUUCUGAUUUUAGCGGCGGACGGGUGAGUAACACGUGGGCAACCUACCUUGUAGAUUGGGAUAACUCCGGGAAACCGGGGCUAAUACCGAAUAAUCCAUUUUGCUUCAUGGCGAGAUGUUGAAAGACGGUUUCGGCUGUCACUACAAGAUGGGCCCGCGGCGCAUUAGCUAGUUGGUAGGGUAAUGGCCUACCAAGGCGACGAUGCGUAGCCGACCUGAGAGGGUGAUCGGCCACACUGGGACUGAGACACGGCCCAGACUCCUACGGGAGGCAGCAGUAGGGAAUCUUCCACAAUGGACGAAAGUCUGAUGGAGCAACGCCGCGUGAGUGAAGAAGGUUUUUCGGAUCGUAAAACUCUGUUGUAGGGGAAGAACACGUACGAGAGUAACUGCUCGUACCUUGACGGUACCUUAUUAGAAAGCCACGGCUAACUACGUG